GGUUAUUGGAGGCUGUUUACACAUAAUGCUGUUGUGUGGUAACUCGGAGGGCCCAAGAAUAAGCAGAAGCCACCCACACGUCACGCAGUUCCAUUAGUCUGAUUUAUAGCGGCCAUUGGCCCUGCUGCAUCAGUGCCUAGAUGACAUCGGCAACCAGCACCUCCCACCAAUGCACGCCCAGUCCUUCUCAGUGGCUGCUGCUCUACGGAAAAAAAAAGUGAAAAAAAGAGAUGGCCGACGGCUGCCCUGACUUGCUGUAGCUGUAACAGGACAGGAAAUCAGGAGAAAGGGAGGAGCGUGAUAAGAAAUGCUAAGAUAACAAAUAAAGUGGACCCAAAAGGAGACUGGAGGCUAAGCCGAGCAGAGGAGACCACGUUCCUUGUUAAAGGGAAAGGAAAGUCUUUUUAACUUGGGGGUGCCACAAUUUAGGCAUCCCAAGUGAUUUUAUUUACUUAACUGAUAACCCAGGCUGCUGCUCCUGUCAACAGAUAACUGCACCGGCCCAGGGUUCUUCCAGAGAUCCAGAGUGAUUCUCUUUUUCCACUUCUUCAGACAUAACUGCACAGUGGUGUGAAAUAGCUGUUUUUUUUUUCUGUUGUUAAAGUAUGGCUUUUCACUCUGCUGUGUAUGCACAGCUGCGGGAAUAAAGAAUAAGCAUGAACAGGAUCCCUCUGUGUAGCUCACUGGGCCUCUGCAGUUUUCUAUUGAUAGGAGCAGCAGCCCUGGGUAUAUACAAUCACUUAGAGCUGCCUAACUUUUGGUACCUUCAAGUAAAAAACUUGCUUCUCCUUUAAAGGGAUGGGAUCUCUCACAUCUUUCCCUGUGUGAUGUGAUGAAAGCCCAAGGAGGAAGUUCUGGACUGAAGAGCUACUGCACAUUCCUUUCCUCUCCUGCUUCAUUUGCAUGUCUUCGACCCAACUGGCUGGCA